UGUCAAUCAAAAAGCAAUCGCAAACAGCGUUUGACUUGAAUACUAUUCUGAGGUUGCUCAUUGUACUUUAGGUGUGGCUAGAGAGCCGCGAGUGGAUCGCUCAAACAGAUGCAUUGCGAGUGUGGGCACGUUUGGAAAUGGACAGGUUGAAAAUUAGUUAGAUUACUGGGCCAAAGGCCCAGCCGCCAGACUCGGAGGAUAUGUGGAAGGGACGCCAACCUGCAUUUGGACACGCGUGAGUACUGAGCUGUGUGGUGUGCUUGAAGAGCUGAUGUCUGAUGUCACAUUGCACCACAAGGUGGAGGUGAGUGUGCCUGCCUGUCUGUCUCUCACUCAAUUUAAACUUCUGCUUCGUGUACUGCACAACAGUGUCAACUCCACAUAGACAACCCAAGCAUCACCAAGCACUUCUGGAAUAUGUUUUUAAACCUUGAAGUGGACCAAGUUAGUUUAAAAAUGUGUUUAAUACACAUACAUAUGACUAACUUGGCCUACUUCAAUGUC